AUUGAACGCUGGCGGCAGGCCUAACACAUGCAAGUCGAACGGUAACAGGAAGCAGCUUGCUGCUUUGCUGACGAGUGGCGGACGGGUGAGUAAUGUCUGGGAAACUGCCUGAUGGAGGGGGAUAACUACUGGAAACGGUAGCUAAUACCGCAUAACGUCGCAAGACCAAAGAGGGGGACCUUCGGGCCUCUUGCCAUCGGAUGUGCCCAGAUGGGAUUAGCUAGUAGGUGGGGUAACGGCUCACCUAGGCGACGAUCCCUAGCUGGUCUGAGAGGAUGACCAGCCACACUGGAACUGAGACACGGUCCCGACUCCUACGGGAGGCAGCAGUGGGGAAUAUUGCACAAUGGGCGCAAGCCUGAUGCAGCCAUGCCGCGUGUAUGAAGAAGGCCUUCGGGUUGUAAAGUACUUUCAGCGGGGAGGAAGGGAGUAAAGUUAAUACCUUUGCUCAUUGACGUUACCCGCAGAAGAAGCACCGGCUAACUCCGUG
rnacentral:rRNA from 1 species